AAAGACUUAGGAUAACUAGACCAAAGGCCUUCAAAGCCUUAAGCAGGAGUUAAAAUCUUCUAGCCUUUG
rnacentral:tRNA from 1 species